GGCUGGUCCGGGGGAAGUGGUGUUUACAACUAAUUGAUCACAACCAGUUACAGAUUUCUUUGUUCCUUCUCCACUCCCACUGCUUCACUUGACUAGCCUUAA
rnacentral:Y_RNA from 1 species